AAUAUGAUUGAGAGAUAGUAUAGGCACAGUGUGUGUUAUCUCUUAUUGGAAAAUUGCUAUCAGUGUGUAUGCUUUCAUAUGAGCAUACACGGUAGCGAGUUUUUACAGUGAAGAAAAUUAUUGUGAGCCCCACAACGAGGAACAUUGUCCGUUCUUCGUUUUUAUUGAGGAUACAUAUUAAGCAAAAAUAUGUUAAUUCGUUACUAUCGAGGCUUCAUGUGGUAAAAGAGUGAAUACAUUAAUUAAGAAGUACUCGAACGACCGAAGUGCAAUAGAUGCGAACAUUGUUGGUUCGUCUUAAUAAUAUUGCAACUUCCUUAGCAGGAUGUUAGGAGGAACAUAAAAUUUCAUUACAUAAGAAAGGAGUUUAAAAUUGUGAAUUGGUGUCCUCGUCAUGCUUAGUAAAAUGUUGGUUCAUCGGUGCCACUGCCAAGCAAAGUAACAUGUAUGAUACCCAACUGCAAGCCAACCAAGAAUAGGAGAGUCUGCGUUUACCAUACCAGCAGACCCAAAAAGAAAAAAAUUUGGAUGAAGGCUCUUUAAUUGGACCAUCUGAAUUCCUUACGCUGAAGUAUCCCAGAGUGUGUAAAAACUUUUACAUUGUUACAUGAAUAUUAUGACGUUAUAUUUUUCAA